AUCUCCCGUUUCUGCCCCGUAUCGUCUUUUGCUGUUCAAUAGGAUAAUGGGUUCUAAUAGUGGAGAAGAUUAAUAAGAUCCUUUUUCUUGCGUGAAUAAUGUUUGUCAUUUUCUUUAAACUGGGAAAAUCCAACGUUUUUUGAGACAAUAAUUUU